CUGCCCUUGUACACACCGCCCGUCGCUACUACCGAUUGAAUGGCUUAGUAGGUCUCCGGAUUGGCGGUGGGGAGCCGGCAACGGCACCCUAUUGCUGAGAAGCUGAUCAAACUUGGUCAUUUAGAGGAAGUAAAAGUCGUAACAAGGUUUCCGUAGGUGAACCUGCGGAAGGAUCCUUAACGAAUAACCUAUGGUGUCUUGGUUGUAGCUGGCUCUUCGGAGCAAUGUGCACGCCCGCCAUUUUUAUCUUUCCACCUGUGCACCGACUGUAGGUCUGGAUACCUCUCGUCUCUCUCUUGAGAGGCGGAUGUGGGGAUUGCUCGUAAGGGCUCUCCUCAAAUUUCCAGGCUCUACGUCUUUUUACACACCCCAAUAGUAUGAUGUAGAAUGUAGUCAAUGGGCUUCUUAGCCUAUAAAACACUAUACAACUUUCAGCAACGGAUCUCUUGGCUCUCGCAUCGAUGAAGAACGCAGCGAAAUGCGAUAAGUAAUGUGAAUUGCAGAAUUCAGUGAAUCAUCGAAUCUUUGAACGCACCUUGCGCUCCUUGGUAUUCCGAGGAGCAUGCCUGUUUGAGUGUCAUUAAAUUCUCAACCUCACCAGUUUUCUAAACUGUUCUUCGAGGCUUGGAUGUGGGGGUUUGUGCAGGCUGCCUUUCUGGCGGUCUGCUCCCCUGAAAUGCAUUAGCGAGUUCAUACUGAGCUCCGUCUAUUGGUGUGAUAAUUAUCUACGCCGUGGACGAGGUUCAGACUUGCUUCUAACCGUCCGCAAGGACAAUACCUUGACAAUUUGACCUCAAAUCAGGUAGGACUACCCGCUGAACUUAAGCAUAUCAAUAAGCGGAGGAAAAGAAACUAACAAGGAUUCCCCUAGUAACUGCGAGUGAAGCGGGAAAAGCUCAAAUUUAAAAUCUGGCGGUCUUUGGCCGUCCGAGUUGUAAUCUAGAGAAGUGUUACCCGCGUCGGACCGUGUACAAGUCUCCUGGAAUGGAGCGUCAUAGAGGGUGAGAAUCCCGUCUUUGACACGGACUACCGAGGCUUUGUGGUGCGCUCUCAAAGAGUCGAGUUGUUGG
rnacentral:rRNA from 1 species